rnacentral:rRNA from 1 species
GAUGAACGCUAGCGGCAGGCUUAACACAUGCAAGUCGAGGGGCAGCACGGACUUCGGUCUGGUGGCGACCGGCAAACGGGUGCGGAACACGUACACAAUCUACCUUUAUCUGGGGUAUAGCCCGAAGAAAUUCGGAUUAAUCCCCCAUAAUAUAUUAGAGUGGCAUCACUUCGAUAUUAAAACUCCGGUGGAUAAAGAUGAGUGUGCGUCCCAUUAGCUAGUUGGUAGGGUAACGGCCUACCAAGGCAACGAUGGGUAGCUGGUGUGAGAGCACGACAAGCCACACGGGGACUGAGACACGGGCCCGACUCCUACGGGAGGCAGCAGUGAGGAAUAUUGGUCAAUGGACGCAAGUCUGAACCAGCCAUGCCGCGUGAAGGAUGAAGGCCUUCUGGGUUGUAAACUUCUUUUAUUGGGGAAGAAAAUUACGGUUUCUACUGUAACCGACGGUACCUAAGGAAUAAGCACCGGCUAACUCCGUGCCAGCCGCCGCUGUAA